rnacentral:rRNA from 1 species
UACGUAGGGUGCGAGCGUUGUCCGGAAUUAUUGGGCGUAAAGGGCUCGUAGGCGGUUUGUCGCGUCGGGAGUGAAAACCUCGGGCUUAACUCGGGGCUUGCUUUCGAUACGGGCAGACUAGAGGUAUGCAGGGGAGAACGGAAUUCCUGGUGUAGCGGUGAAAUGCGCAGAUAUCAGGAGGAACACCGGCGGCGAAGGCGGGUCUCUGGGCCAUAACUGACGCUGAGGAGCGAAAGCGUGGGGAGCGAACAGG